ensembl:lncRNA
UUCUAAUGUUGAUACAGGCUAUGGUCAACCUGUUGAUGGAUUCUAAUGUUGAUACAGACUAUGGUCAACCUGUUGAUGGAUUCUAAUGUUGAUACAGGCUAUGGUCAACCUGUUGAUGGAUUCUAAUGUUGAUACAGGCUAUGGUCAACCUGUUGAUGGAUUCUAAUGUUGAUACAGGCUAUGGUCAACCUGUUGAUGGAUUCUAAUGUUGAUACAGACUAUGGUCAACCUGUUGAUGGAUUCUAAUGUUGAUACAGGCUAUGGUCAACCUGCUGAUGGAUUCUAAUGUUGAUACAAGCUAUGGUCAACCUGCUGAUGGUGCCUGAACAGCAUAUCUGUGUCUGUCUGCUAAGCCUUUUUAAAGUCGUCUUUAUGGAGACAUUCUAUAGUGUUGUUAUGUAGUCUGUAGUCCCAGCCACGUCAGCACUUUACAGCAGGUAGAGACCCUGGAGUUCAACAUCAAUGACUUUAUAGCAUGUAGAGACCCUGGAGCUCAACAUCAAUGACUUUAUAGCGGGUAGAAACCCUGGAGUUGAACAUCAAUGACUUUAUAGCAGGUAGAGACCCUGGAGUUGAACAUCAAUGACUUUAUAGCAGGUAGAAACCCUGGAGCUCAACAUCAAUGACUUUAUAGCGGGUAGAAACCCUGGAGUUGAACAUCAAUGACUUUAUAGCAGGUAGAGACCCUGGAGUUGAACAUCAAUGACUUUAUAGCAGGUAGAAACCCUGGAGUUGAACAUCAAGGACUUUAUAGCAGGUAGAAACCCUGGAGUUGAACAUCAAUGGCUUUAUAGCAGGUAGAGACCCUGGAGUUGAACAUCAAUGACUUUAUAGCAGGUAGAAACCCUGGAGUUGAACAUCAAUGACUUUAUAGCAGGUAGAGACCCUGGAGUUGAACAUCAAGGACUUUAUAGCAGGUAGAAACCCUGGAGUUGAACAUCAAUGACUUUAUAGCAGGUAGAGACCCUGAAGUUGAACAUCAAGGACUUUAUAGCAGGUAGAAACCCUGGAGUUGAACAUCAAUGACUUUAUAGCAGGUAGAGACCCUGGAGUUGAACAUCAAACACUGAUUGAACAGAAAACCACCGACAGAUCAUGUCUUGUCUGUCUGCAGCAGUAGUCACAAGAGGACUGUCAUUAAAUGUUUGUUUUUUUGUUGAUACUAUUAGAAGUGAUAGACCUGUAAUGAUGGCCACACAAUACAGAAUACCCAGCACAGAAAUAGCACAGGAUCUAAAGUGCAGGCACAAACAUAGAAGCCCUCUCGAUUGUGGAUCACAGCCACAGGAUGCUAGAGACUGCUUGUGGAUCACAGCCAUAGGAUGCUAGGGACUGCUUGUGGCUCACAGCCACAGGAUGCUAGGGACUGCUUGUGGAUCACAGCCACAGGAUGCUAGGGACUGCUUGCAGAUCACAGCCACGGGUAAAUUAUGGAUUACCAAUUAGAGAGCUAGAAUCACUUGAACUAUUAUUGAUGGAGGGAGAGGGAGAGGGAGAAGGGGGGGAGAGAGAGAGAGAGAGAGAGAGAGAGAAAAUAGUAACCAUCAUACAGUACUCAAAUCAAAUGACAUUUGAUUAGUCACAUGCACCUAAUACAACAGGUGUAGACCUUACAGGGAAAUGCUUACUUAUGAGCCCCUAAUCAACAAUGCAGUUAAAUAAAAACAGAAUAAGAAAUAAAAGUAAUAAGCAAUUAAAGAGCAGCAGUAAAUUAACAAUAGCGAGACUAUAUACAGGGGAUACCGGUAUAGAGUCAAUGUGGAGGCUAUAUACAGGGGGGGUACCGGUACAGAGUCAAUGUGGAGGCUAUAUACAGGGGGGUACCAGUACAGAGUCAAUGUGGAGGUUAUAUACAGGGGGUACUGGUACAGAGUCAAUGUGGAGGCUAUAUACAGGGGGUACCGGUACAGAGUCAAUGUGGAGGCUAUAUACAUGGGGUACCGGUACAGAGUCAAUGUGGAGGCUAUAUACAGGGGGUACUGGUACAGAGUCAAUGUGGAGGUUAUAUACAGGGGGUACAGGUACAGAGUCAAUGUGGAGGCUAUAUACAGGAGGUACCGGUACAGAGUCAAUGUGGAGGUUAUAUACAGGGGGUACAGGUACAGAGUCAAUGUGGAGGCUAUAUACAGGUGGUACUGGUACAGAGUCAAUGUGGAGGCUAUAUACAUGGGGUACCGGUACAGAGUCAAUGUGGAGGCUAUAUACAGGGGGUACCGGUACAGAGUCAAUGUGGAGACUAUAUAUAGGGGGUACCGGUACAGAGUCAAUGUGUGGGGGUAGAGUUAUUAAAGUGACUAUGCAUAGGUGACAACAACAGAGAGUAGCAGCGUUGUAAAGGAGAGGGGAGGAGGGCAAAGCAAAUGGCUAGCCAUUUGAUUAGAUGUUCAGGAGUCUUAUGGCUUCGGGGUAGAAGCUGUUUAGAAGCCUCUUGGACUCCAACUUUAAUGUCACCCAGGCAGCUUCUGCCAAAGUGUGGUCUCUGUGUGGUCUGACACUCCCCAGGGGGAUCUGGCUGUCUGGUCUGACACUACCCAGGGGGAGCUGUCUGUCUGGUCUGACACUCCCCAGGGGGAGCUGGCUGUCUGGUUUGACACUUCCCAGGAGGAGAGAGACAAGAAGGUGUUUAUGCACAAGGGCCCGAUUCCGACGUAGGAAUUCAUUCCUUUCCUACACACUUCUCAGUAGUUGGUAUUCAGACUUACCUUAUGCAGAUGCAUAACUGGCUUUGCAGGCUCCCUUGUGAGCGUUAAAUAAAUGUAAUUCAACCACUUACAAACCCUCUCACUCGCUGGCCAACAGAUUUUCUUGUGGAGUAUUCAAUCAAAAGAGUUUUCAGGACAUUUAUCUUAAGCCAUCCCUUUACAGUGUACCUUUAAUUAGAAUAAUUAGAAUUGAAUUAGAAUACAUGAAUAUGGUCGACAGACUAGAAUACAUAGAGAGACAGGUUCAGAAUAUUAGGGAUCAAUUUUAAAAAAGCCAUCUAAAUAUCUGUAUAUUUGUCUCGGUUUCAACACCAAGUGGUAGAUACAUUUUUUUUUUAAAUACUCUCAUUAAGGCACAAUUUUAGGAUUAUAUAUUAAUGUAUUUUUUUUUUUAAACAGGUUUGGAGAUCUCUAAGCACCUAAUAUAUUGAUAAAUCAAAAAUACAGUGGUUUGAUUCAUUCUGAAAAUGUGUCACAUUCAGUUCUACAACCCAUGAUAAUGUUGGAAGAUUAGUGUACAUAAAAUUAUAAUAGGGACAAUAGUGUACAAUAGUAGGCUAUAUCCUCCUCUAUUUCCUGCACUAGCCAUAGAACUGUGUGAUGUCACAGCCAAGUAUUGCACUGUGUCAGGGUCAAAUUUCUCCAUAACAUUUAAAUUAGCCUACAUGUCUUCUUAUAUAUUACUAUAUAUAUAUUAUAUAUUACUAUAUUAUAUAUUACUAAUGAUACUCAGCAACAACGCCGUGGUCAUGAAGGAGUUUACAGAGGACAAAAAUGAAGGUAAAUAAAACAAUUGGGGCGGCAGGGUAACCUAGUGGUUAGAGCGUUGGACUAGUAACUGGAAGGUUGCAAGUUCAAAUCCCUGAGUUGACAAGGUACAAAUCUGUCAUUCUGCCCCUGAGCAGGCAGUUAAACCCACUGUUCCUAGGCUGUCAUUGAUUAUAAGAAUUUGUUCUUAACUGACUUGCCAAUUAAAUGGAAUGAUAAUAUAGGCUACACCAACUGUUUAAAUUGUAAUAUGUGUGGUUAUUAGGUCUACUGACGGUCAAUAGUGGUGUUUGACAUGACAGAGAAAGUCAAGGUAGCCUGUAAUUACAAUGUUUCAGAGUGCUCAUACCUGCAAGAUGUACAAUUCCAAACCUGCACAAACUUUAUUUAACUAGGGAAGUCAAGAACAAAUCCAUAUUUUCAAUGACAGCCUACCUGGGAAGAGUAGGUUAACUGCCUUGUUCAGGGGUAGAACUACAGAUUUUUUCACCCUUGUCAGCUCAGGGAUUCAAUCUUGCAACCUUCUGGUUACUAAUCCUACGCUGUAACCACUAGGCUACCCUGCCGCCCCAACAGACCUGCCAUAUGACUGGUUUCGCAUUUGUCUCCAGCGAUCAUAUGGUUCAAUAGCUCUAAAACAAGCCUCAUUUAUAUUUACAUUUCCCUUAUCCAAAACGGAUUACUCAAAUACCUAACUCUUGUCAAUAGCGCUUAUUAAAUUGGUGUUAUUUCAAUCUGAAAAAAAGACAAAUAAAUGAGAUACCUUUUCCUCACCUUUUAUUAAUGGUUUCCUUGCACAUAAAGGUGGUAGAAUUACUUUGGGAAUGAAGUCAGAAUACCAUCUAUCUGUAGGCACACCAUCAAUCUCCACCCUAAACGAGUAGUGUGUGAAUAGCACCAAUGUGAAUCGAAAUAGGGGCCAGGGCUUUUACUCGACAAUUUGCCUAAGAGAACGUUCAAUUCCCUAAAUCACUUAUUGAGGUGAUGUAAUGUCAACUCCAGAUGGCCUGUAUGUAUUAUCAUCACUGUCUCAUUACUGCCUUGUACAAGUACAAUAAAUGAAACAUGUGUAGACUAACUCGAUUUCUCUCAACAUGACAGUGAUAGUGUAUUCAUUUACUUAAUAGUGAUAAUAUGCUUUAUUCUGUGAUUUGAUCAAUAACUUAUCUACAGUACUUACAAGGGGAAGCCCAGGAAUGUAUCAUUUGAUGUUAGAAGAUUCCUCACCCUGAAAUGAGUCCUUAUGCCCCAUUCACUUCCAUUGAGUGUUAUAGCUAGUAGUAGCUGUAGUUAGCUGCAGUUUGUAUUAGCUGUUUGGAGAAAACAGUUUCUCCUGGCCCAUAGACGGCUUUCAGGGUGAGAAACCAUGGAACAUCAAGUUGUAGAAUUCUGAACCUACCCCUUUUAUUCUGUAUAUUUACUCUGUAGGCAUUGAUGUACAUUCUGUCCCUUCACAAUGAAGUUAUCUAUAGUGUAAGUGACCAGGAGAAUACUUGAGCUGUAUAUAAUAAUUGUAUAUUUUGAGAUAUUUCAGAUUUUUGUACGUAAUGUACCCUUAUUGUGUCUGUAGAUUUAUGAUGUAAAAAAUAUUAGUGUGAAAUUGUUGUUUUCAAUCCAAAUAACUGGAGAGAUUGUACUUUGGCGUGUGUCUGUGUGCUCUUGUGUGUGAGUGAGUAUGUGGUGUGCUUACGUGUAUGUGUGUGUGUAAGUCUGGUGUGAGUGAGUGUGUGAUUCUGUGUUCAUGUAGAUGUCAUUGUUCAAACUGGUUGUGUGUUUCUUGAUUUCCACCUUCAGUGUUGUGUGAGCUUUACUGACUGUAAUCAAGUAGAUAUGACUCACUUGUAAUGACUUGGGACCACUGACUUCUUUAAGCAAUCUGUACGUGUUCUGUGUCUCUUCAGCUGCUCUACGGGACAACUCUCUGUUCUCCACACAAAUUACAACUUGAACAUGGAAUAAAAUAGUGUGAGAAUUCAGGAGCGUCAAUACUAGUAACAACCAAUGUUUUUUUGUCUUAGACAAAAACAUUGAGGGAAAAUGAAAUAAAAGUUAGCACUUUUAUGAACCACGUUAUACUGUGUGUUGGUAGUGUCAUUUAUUUGAAUACAUUUUAUUUUAUUUCAUUCGAAUGGGAUUGUCACGUGUGCUCUCUGGUUUGAGAGUCUAACAUUGUUACCUGUCUGUCAACAAGCAACUUGGAGUCUAACACACUAUGUCUGUUUUGUUAACUAGCAGAAACUGAAGCUACAGUAGCUUGUUGG